rnacentral:rRNA from 1 species
ACGAACGCUGGCGGCGUGCUUAACACAUGCAAGUCGAACGGAAAGGCCCCUUUGGGGGUACUCGAGUGGCGACCGGGUGAGUAACACGUGAGUAACCUGCCCUUGACUUCGGGAUAACUUCAGGAAACUGGGGCUAAUACCGGAUAGGAAUCCUUGCUGCAUGGUGGGGGUUGGAAAGCUUCGGCGGUUUUGGAUGGACUCGCGGCUUAUCAGCUUGUUGGUGGGGUAGUGGCUUACCAAGGCUUUGACGGGUAGCCGGCCUGAGAGGGCGACCGGCCACAUUGGGACUGAGAUACGGCCCAGACUCCUACGGGAGGCAGCAGUGGGGAAUAUUGCGCAAUGGGCGGAAGCCUGAUGCAGCAACGCCGCGUGCGGGAUGACGGCCUUCGGGUUGGAAACCGCUUUCAGCAGGGGCGAAGCUUGUGGUGACGGUACCUGCAGAAGAAGCACCGGCUAACUACGUG